UCCGGUGGCUACAUCGGAGGGGUCCUACCCGUUCCCAUCCCGAACACGGAAGUCAAGCCCUCCAGAGCCGAUGGUACUGCACGCCCUGCGUGUGGGAGAGUAGGUCGCUGCCGGAA
rnacentral:rRNA from 1 species